GGAAUCUUGGACAAUGGGGGCAACCCUGAUCCAGCGACGCCGCGUGUGUGAAGAAGGCCUUCGGGUUGUAAAGCACUUUCGGCAGGGACAAACAAGGCGGAGCUAAUAUCUCCGUUCCUGAUGGUACCUGAAGAAGAAGCACCGGCUAACUCUGUGCCAGCAGCCGCGGUAAUACAGAGGGUGCAAGCGUUAAUCGGAAUUACUGGGCGUAAAGCGUGUGUAGGUGGUUUUCUAAGUCAGGUGUGAAAUCCUCGGGCUCAACCCGAGAACUGCAUUUGAUACUGGAAGACUAGAGUGUGGUAGAGGAUGGUGGAAUUCCCGGUGUAGCGGUGAAAUGCGUAGAUAUCGGGAGGAACAUCAGUGGCGAAGGCGGCCAUCUGGACUAACACUGACACUGAGACACGAAAGCGUGGGGAGCAAAC
rnacentral:rRNA from 1 species